rnacentral:lncRNA from 1 species
AGCGUUACCUCAGCCUCUCGAGAGGCUGUGCGCCUCGACACUCCCUCCAAGGGAUUCAGGCCAGCUCCACCAGCUCACAUGACUCCAAUCCCAGCAACUUCCAUGAACCCUCGACGAGCGCGCUCAACAUUUUCCUCGGGUAACCCAAAGGACUGCCUGACUUUCUAGAGGGAUUGCAACAUCACAACAACCCAUCGAAUAAACCCAAGGAGUUAAAAAUUAAGGGUUUGGCUGGACCCAAACUGAACCCUCUCCCUCUCCCAGUCUCUUAUUCACUCUAGAGGCUCUUAGUCGGCCUCGGUGCGCCUGAAGGACCUCGUCCUCCCGAGACGCCCGGGGACAUGGAAAAGCCGAGAACCUAGCCGCUAACCCCACGGGCACGCGGGAACUCAGCAGAGGAAGAGACAGCGGCGGCUCAUCGCGUGGGCCUCGGCGGAGGCGGCGGGCUCUGGCCAGACCCGGAGCGGGCAGUGUUCAGG